GGCUGCUGAAAGAGGGACAAGAUUUUCUCCGGCGAAAAUUUUCACUGGAAAUAAGUUUUCGAAUGAUGGAAGCUUCUUAGAAAUGUUUAAAAAACAUAUGGAAGAGAAAGAUGAAUUGAAUUCAAACACAACGAAGGAAUCAGACUCCUCAAAUGUGGAUAAAUCGUCUUCCUCUUCUGUUGGUCAAGAAACUUCCGACUCGACGGCCACUGACAAAAAACCGGUUGUUUUACCUAUUGUAGGGAAGAGGAAAGGGGCUAAUCGUGCACUCAAAACUGGUAUUGUGGCCAAGAAACCAAAACCAGAGAAAAAAGAGGAGUCUGACGGUAGCGCUUGGUCUAAGUAUUUAGCUGAAGUGAACGAAUAUAAGUCUAAGAUGUGCAUGGAUGAGGACAAAAGCAGGCCACUAGUGAAAUGAGUAGUCCAUGCAAAGUGAGUAUUGGAGGACAAAUGCAGGCUGCGGUGGAACGAGAAGUUUACAUGGGAAGUAACCAUUACGACAUCUCUGAGAAGACUUGAUCUGCAUUAAUAGACUGUUUUCUGAGAGACGUUGACCAACCUCAAACUUUUCUACCUUAUAGCUAUAGCUUCAUUGUAACAUCAGAUUGAAAUGUUUGCAUUUUUCAGUACUUGGGGCACUUGAUUUUCCAGACUGAACUACAAGUCUUUUGUGCAUAGAUUAGUUCAUUUUUGGAAAACUAAGUUUACAUUUUUACCAAUGCAAUCUUCAAUUUGUUUGAUAAGUUGAAGAAAGGAAGAGAUUUUAUUCAGAAAUUUAAAAUUUGUACCGAUCAUUUGGAAGGUGUAACCUAUUGUGCAUACUGAAAUUAUUUGAUACUGAUUUUUGUUCAAUCAUUGAAUUCUGGUGGUACAUUGCUUUCCAGAAAAUUGUGAAUUUAUAUAUCCUUGUAUAAUGGAAUUGUACUUAUUGAAAAAGUGAGCAGAAUCUGUGCAUAUUUCAAAAGGUUACAUAUAUAUAUAGAUCCUAGAUUCUGAUGGGCUGACACACUCCAGACAGCAACUUCCCUUAAUACAAACAUUGAUAUGUCAGUCCUGCUUUGUUAUUGAUGCUCAGGCCUAUAGUUCAAAGAUGAAUGGAAUCCGUGCUGUACCCGUAACUGAUAUAUAAAGGGGAAUGGCUACUUGCUUAGUUCUGAUUGGUGGUUGAAAACAAUUUUCCUAAUUAUUUUUGAAAAUAUAAGUUAAGUUUAAUUUUUGUAUACCUGGUAGAUGAGAAUUGAAGAAUCUUCACAUUCAGUUAGGAUACAGGCUCUGACUUAAUUCUGAUUGGCUGUCUCUUUCUUGAGAUGUUUUACGUUCAUGUGUAGAUUUUUACCAAAGUUGGUGCAUGUUUUCAUGUCAAAAACUCAGACCAUUUGAACUGCUACAGUUUGAAUUGAACAAAUACUACAUUUUUAAUGAUAAUGAGGUUACCGACACUUCCUCAGUUCUGAUGAUUGGUUGUCAUUUUUUUUCUCUCGAAAAUAUCUUUCCAAUGUGUGUACAGGAUUUUAACAAAUUUUGCUUAUGCUUGUUUAAUCUUAGUGUUCAAGAUGGCUGGAAUCUGUGUUUUGUAAUGAGGAUACAGAAGGUUUUGCAGUUCUGAUUAGUUGAUGCUAUGUCCAGACUUCAGACAUAUUAAGAUGGUGUUAUGAUUAUUGUAUGGAUGAGAUAAUUACAGUAACGUACAUACAUUCUAUGAAUUUCCAUUUUUUUAAAUAUUUUUUUUGUGUGUGUGUUGUGUGUACUUAAUUGCCUUCAAGAAUUAAUUGGACUCAGAUCAGCAAUACUUUUACCAAAACAUAAUCAAUAUAGUGAUUUUAAGACCUGGCUUAGAUAUGGCCAAUCAUGUCAAAAAAGGUAGCACAUCAGAUUUCAUUUAGACCACAUAGUCAACUAGAGCUAAUUAACGUGUAAUAGAUGACCAGGUUUAUCUGUCAACCUUAUAACAUAAUAUGUUGUUCCUUGUAAGACAUAUCUAUUCGCUGUACUACCAUCUCAAUAUUUAUUAAACUUAGUCACUUUUUAAAAGCCAGCGACAAUCUUAAUAACAGUCUCAAUUUUUUGUGGAUUUUUUUUUUUUUAAAUGCAGUCAGUUUUUUAAUCCUGACGUGUACAGUAACACCUCAAUAUAGCGCUCCUCAUGUGUUUGUCACAUUGUUAAACCCCUUCAUCAUGCCAAAAUUUUGCUGGACAAAAUGUGGCAGUAUAGCAGCAUUCAGAUUUGUUGACUUUUGAUGUAAAAUUCUGAAUUUUGAGUCCUUUUAUCUAAAGUCACUAAGUUAGGUUUUCACUUAAACAUAUGUUCUUUUUCAUGGAUUACUUCAACAUUUUUUUGCAUAGAACAACCAGUCUUUUAAAAGAUAUUCUGUCUGGUAUCCUAUACAUGAUGUGUUUGUCCUGUACACCAUUACACAUUGUGAUGAAGGGAUUUCAGAAAGCUUGUUGGUUAAAAAUUGUAGGGAAAUACUUAACUAAAUGUACUUAUCUUUUACUUUAUUUGAUUUUCCAGUUACCUUUCAGAAUGCAAUUAUUAUCAAUCUCCGGAGAAUGACUGUGUCGGUAAACACAGAUAUAAUAUAUAUAUGUAACAAUGACUUCCAGUAAAAAUCUGGUGACAUGAUCAUGAAUGCUGCUACAUCUUUUUAUUUUACAAUGAAACUUUCCUGAUGACUAUUCCAUUAAUAUAGUUGGGAGCCUGUCAGUGACCACACCCUUCUAUUUUCUUUCUUGGCUCCACUAAAGUCAUUUUAGCAACAACUUUUAGACUCCAUCACUGAUGUAUUAUUGGUCAUAAUUGCCAACUUUUUAAUCUGUCUUACUCAAAAUUAAAAGUAUAAAUAAAAUGUGUAUAUGUACAUCCUAAGGAUUUGUUUCUUCCCUGAUACUCCCCCAACACCAUGUAGUAAUAUCUGGAAUAAUUCAUCUCAAAGGGGACCAAAUGUCUGGAAACUUAGAAAGAUUAAGGUCUAAUAAUUAGCAUAGGUUUUGGGAUUGGGACAGCUUAAAUUCACAAAGGUUACAUAAGCAUCCUAGUACAUUGUAUUACGCACAUACUUGUAAAUAUUUCUUGAUAAAAAAAAAGAAAUCAUAAUUGUACAACUGCUGAAAGUUUUAUGAGUUUUUGUUUAGUUCUGUACAUGUGUAACACGUUAAAAUUUGUCUUCACUACGCAUUUUAUGUGUAUAUAGCUUCUUGUCCUUCAAUAUGUCGCUAAGCAAUAAUAUACAAUCAUCUGCAUAUUUGAGAAGCUACUUGUACUUUUAAGGAUGGUAUUUUUAAUUAUGUAAAUAAGAUAAUAAGGUAGAGCAACCCACCACUUUCCUUCUUUAUACAUGCUCGAAAAUUUAUUCUCCUGUGAAUUUCAUGCUAUUUUCUGUAAAUUCAUACAAAGACAAAUAAAGGUUGCAUGCUUUUUGAGGGAGGGAGAUAUUUUGACAAUAAGUAUUAACAAAUAUAACUGCAUGGUAGGACAAUGUAUAAACACCUGGUUUAUGAUCAAGAUAUCUGUGUAUUAAAUCGUCAUUACAAGAUGUUAAAGAAAGUUAUGAUAAAUAUAUAACUUUCACUGUAUGCAUCUUUUUUGAUGGGCAAGCAACUCAAGUUAGGAAAUUGCCAAACAAAUUAGAACCGUCCCUUUUUGGAGAUACAACAAAGACUGCGGGGACUAUCUACCUUAAGAAAAGGAAAUUUGAUACAUAUGUACGGUAUACAUGAAUUCCUGUAGAGUAAAACAUCAUAAAAUCUAUCCUUGUGAAUAAAAGCAACUUCUCAGUUUGAAGAUAUUUGUGAAACUGGAUCGUAUAGUUUCACACCGUGUUUGAUAGUUGUCAACCUGCUGGACGUCCGGGUUGACAGUCAUGGAUGUGUACUUAUAUUGUACAGGUAAUACAGAGUUGCUCGGAUACAAAUGUUUAUAUAAAUUAACAAUAUAUAAUGGUGUUUUUUUUUGUUUUUUUGUUUGUGAAUCUGGAAUUUAUAAAUGUAUAUCAUAGCAUAUACAUGCAUACGUUUCACAACUCUCAACAGAUGUUAUUAAGUACAGCCUCAGUUAUGAAAGUGUUUGGAUGGAUAUAGCAAGUCAUGAGGAGUUUGAAUGUGUUUCCUUUCAUUAUAAUGACCUAUGACAUUAAUAUGGACUUUCACCAGUCAAAAAUUGAUGUUCGAUUGGUUUGUAAUGUGCACUGCACUUUAUGUGUAUUUUAAUUAUUACAUCGUAAUUCUCUUUUACCCCAAUUUGAAAAGAAGAAAAAGUAUGAUUUUAAAAAUGAUAUCAACAUUAUGGUAUACAAAUGUUCUGUUGUGUUAGUGUUUGGUUUUCAACUGAAGUAUUAAGCUCUCACUAAUUAGUUUUAAACUUUUAAAUUAAGUCUCUUGGUAAAAUUUUAGUGUCAAGUUUUGUAAAAUUUAGAAUUUUUAAAUUAAAUAACUUGAGUAAGUUAUACAAUCGUCCCAAAUCAUGGCUUUUUGAAGAACCUCAAUAUAUGCAAUGUAUAACUAUAUACAAUAAUAUAAAGAUUAGAUACUGUUUUAAGAACUAGUACUGGUGUAUAUUUGAAUAUGACUUGUUACUGCCAACCUUUUUUUUAAGCUACUGUAAUACAUAAUUACUUACAUGUAUUCCACACUGCAAGUGGGAAAUACUAUAAGCUUCUGUUAAAGUGUUAUGAUAAAAGUCAGAGAUUUAUUCUGUUAAUUUUAGUCUACUAUUGAUGACUUCUGUAAGAGAAAUUUCUGUGUUUGUUUGAGUUGAUUUAAUUUUUAAUUUAUUGGAAUAUGUCUCAUUUAGCUCCUCUUGCCCACUUCCUUUUUCUUGUGCUAAACCUAUAGGGAAUGUUUAGAUUGUGAAGUGUUGUAAUUUUGGAAAUGUGUUCCUUAAGAUCCAGUCAUUUUUAACUAUCAUUAUCUUUGGGUAAUGUACAACUCAAAUGAAAAUUGUAUUGAACCAUUUUAGUUGAAAGUGAUUUUAAUACAUUGAUUCUAGUUUUUACCAGAUAGCAGAACAAUUUAUUGUGGUUUUAAAUUGUUUUAGUCUUUACAAUAACAUCCACAUUGGGGGUGAUAGGCCCGAGAUAACAGUCAUCAUAGCUCUUGCUUUUAUUCAAUGUUACUAGAUUUAAAUAGCCAAAAGGAAUGUAUGAAAUGGAGCAGAUGAUAAGAUCAUGUCCCAGUUCUACAAGCCAUUGUUAUCCUAACAUUUGUUGAUAAAAACAGUUAAAAUGCACAUAUCCCCUCAGUGGUAUAAAUUUAACACAAUGUAUAAUUUAGUACACAUAAAUUACAUAUUAGGAAAUUUCUUUCAAAAUUUCAACUUCAGAAAAAUUUCCAAUUUAAAUAUUCUGGUUUACUUGCUUUAGGCUAACAAGGUUUUGUUGGGUCAUGCUUUUGAUCCACUUUGCUAGCCAAGGAUUACGAUCUGAUGAGAUAAGACCGGAUCGUACCGGAUCGUAACAUUAACCCUUGGCUAGCGAAGAUGGCUUUUGAUGAGAUAUAGCCAUUUAGCUGUUGUUAUAUAUUUCCAAAACUAUUGUCUUGUUAAUGUCUGCAUAUUUCCGCUGAUGGUCUUAUAGAAAUACUGAUGGUUGUCCAUAGUCUCUUUUACUUUGAUUUUUAUUUGAUCAUGUUUUUAAUUUGAAUUGUUAAUUUUCUUGUGUUAUGUUGCGAGUAAGAGGUCGACUGAAAUAUUUUAUUUAAUUAUUGUUCUAAAUUGUACAGCAAUAUUAUGAAUGCAGAACAUUAUAUAUUUUUUGUUGUUAUUUCAAAUAUGACUUUUUGGGGGAAUUUGAAAUGCACAAGAGGUAAUGCUGUGAAUUUAGCAGUAUAUACAGUAUAUGUAGUAGCUUUAAUCCAGACACUUAAGUUCCAAGCAAAAUUGGCUUAACUUGAAACAACUUUUUUUACUAGUAAAAGUUUGAAUAGGAAAAGUUCCAGUCUGUCUGUAAAACACAGGCUGGAUCAUAAGACAAAUAAAGUAGAGAUGAUGUUGGCUUGAUUUACGAAGCUCCACGUUUUAUAUGGUGAUAGCCUUUUUUGAGUUUGUAUGUCAUUUAUCAGGGUUUCAUAUUCUUAAUGGUCAAUAAAGGAAAAGCAUUUCAGCAUACGUAGGUAAAUAUCAGUCUAUCAGUAAAAUCACUUAUAUUAUACAAAUAUCAAAAAUUUGCUUUGAGUUAUCACAAUCUAUUGUUAAGGUUAGGAUUAUUCAUAUUUAUUUGGUAAUACCUGUAUAUAAAAGCACAAACGAUAAUGACCACUGAGGACCUUUGACCUCAGUUUUUUGCAAGGCUGUCAAUGAACAGAACAACUGUAUAGUAAAUGUUUUCAAGAUGAUUAUUUUUUAAAGGUUCAGAAUUAUAUUGUUUUAAAAUAAAUUUUGUAUGAAUGAUUUGCGAAUGAUCCUAUUUUGUUUGGUUGGUGUUGUUUUUGUUUUUCUACAUUAUACAUGCAAUUAUAACGCAAGAAUAUAAUAAAUCUCAACAAAGUU